GAGUCUUCGGACUGCGGAAGAGUGGCGAACGGGUGAGGAACACGUAAGAAUCUGCCCCUCGGUCGGGGACAACUCUUGGAAACGAGAGCUAAUACCCGAUACGCUGUGGAGUGAAAGAAUUUCGCCGAGGGAUGAUCUUGCGUCUGAUUAGCUAGUUGGUGUGGUAACUGCACACCAAGGCGACGAUCAGUAGCUGGUCUGAGAGGAUGGACAGCCACAUUAGAACUGAGACACGGUCCAAACUCCUACGGGAGGCAGCAGUGGGGAAUUUUCCGCAAUGGACGAAAGUCUGACGGAGCGACGCUGCGUGAAGGAUGACGGCCCGCGGGUUGUAAACUUCUUUUCUCGAAGAAGAAACAAAUGACGGUAUUCGAGGAAUAAGCAUCGGCUAACUCCGUGCCAGCAGCCGCGGUAAGACGGAGGAUGCAAGUGUUAUUCGGAAUGAUUGGGCGUAAAGAGUCUGUAGGCUGUAUAGAAAGUCUUUUGUUAAAUUCCUCGGCUCAACCGAGAUCAAGCAAAGGAAACUUCUAUACUUGAGGGAAGUAGAGGUACAGGGAAUUCCCGGUG
rnacentral:rRNA from 1 species